CUCAGCUCAGAGUAGCAGCUUGUUGAGAACAAGACACAGGAUCCCGGGCAGUUGUUGCAGGUGAUGUCGGGCAUCUCUGGCUGAUCUUUUACUUUCAGUGUGAAGGGGAGGUUGGAUUUGUUUCAGGGCUCCAUGACAAUGUAAAGCAGACCUGCUGUCAUCUGAUGUGUAUGAAGAUCAGGAGGAAUAAGGUCGGUGGGAAGCCAAAGAGAAGAGGGUCUUGCAGUUGGAGAAGAUAAAUCUAUGAUGCGACUCUUCAAGGAAGCUGGCAAUGUUCUCUGAUGUCUGAGGCUUGUUCACACUCUUAACAGUAUGUGAAUUAUCAAAGAAUAAAACAUGAAAUUCCCUCUGGACAUUUAGGAAAUAUGACCUCUCCCUAAUUGAUCUAAUCAAAUUUCUGGAAUCACAAAAGAAUAAAGAAAACUUGUUUGAAGUCUCCAUUCCCCACCAAAGAUUUUCAGUGGAUUAUUUUUUCAAGCUGCAAAGACUAUGAAAUGGAGCCCCAAAUGGAUUCUAAGCCCCAAGAGCACUUUCCCACAUACUACACAUUCCUGACUUUCGAGCAAAAAGUCAUACAUCAGAGUUUCAGGCCCACAAAAUCCAAGCUUACAAACCCCACAAAACCCCCAUUCACCUUUGUGCAAAAAUGUUGAUUCGUAACAUAGCCAUGAUGAAGGAUAUUUAGAUGUGUAAGCAGUUGUUCAGUUACAAACACCUGAUUUACGAAUAACCCACACUUGGACCCAGUGCAGUCUUCCCUCUUCAGUGUUCUCUUUUCCCUCAGGCUAAAGACCAUGGUGAUUCUGCCUAAACAAACACAAAGGACCACCCCCCCAACCCAACACCCCCCACCCCACCACACACAUGCACCAGCCACAGCGAUAAACAAGCAGCCAGAGCUGUAAGAAAGUUGCAGAGAAUGAACUUGGAGAAAAACAGGAACUGAUACACUUUGCUGUGGGGCAAGACAUCAAAAUGCAAAUCAAAGAAGAAUUAAAAAUGCUAUUAGUCAUCCCAAGCUUAGUGGAUAUUAGUUUAAUCAGAGCUGCUGCCAUUCUCAUUAAAAUCAGCUUCCGCUCUCUUUUAGUCUUUCUCAUUUCCCACUCCUACAAGAGCUUUUACAGGAAAGGUGAAAGUGAAAAGGAAAGUUAAGUCGCUCAGCCAUGUCCGACUCUUGGACUGUAGCCCACCAGGCUCCUCGGUCCAUGGGAUUCUCCAGGCAAGAAUACUGGAGUGGGUAGAGACCAGCAAAAAGUUGCGGUGCAGGUGGAAAUAAUAAAUAAUAAAAUAAAAUAAUAAAAAAUAGAAUGUGGAAGAC